rnacentral:rRNA from 1 species
UAAGUUCCGACCCGCACGAAAGGCGUAACGAUUUGGGCACUGUCUCAACGAGAGACUCGGUGAAAUUUUAGUACCUGUGAAGAUGCAGGUUACCCGCGACAGGACGGAAAGACCCCGUGGAGCUUUACUGUAGCCUGAUAUUGAAAUUCGGCACAGCUUGUACAGGAUAGGUAGGAGCCUUUGAAACGUGAGCGCUAGCUUACGUGGAGGCGUUGGUGGGAUACUACCCU